UAAGCUUAUGCUUCGUGUAAAUCGAGAUCGAGGGAACAACAGAACAACUGCUGAACGUGCAGCAGCUCUCGAGUGCCGCCGCCGCGUCGCCUGGCUUCACCCGCGCCUCUGCGCGUCGCGAGGAAGGAGGCAGCCGGCGGCCGCUACUAGUUUCUCGGGCAUGGAGGAGCUUCGGCCACCAGCCCGUCGUGAGCCACGAUGAACAUGAGGUCGCCGUCGCAGAUCUGAGACGGCGGCCGGUGCAGUGGGGGCCGACUUCCGCCGGGGAGCAGGCCGGCGCAGCUCUCGAUCCGGAUGGGAUGGAUUGGUUUCGCAUUCUUGCUUGUCCUUCCUCUUCGGCAUUCUGCAAGAUGCCAUGUUCGGCGCCGGUUGCCUCCAAUGAAGUUCUUGGUACCUAGUUAAGGUUCAGAUGCGUUUAAGUUCCAACGAAUUUGGGGGUUGAAAUAAAACCUGAUGCCUCCACACCAAGUCAGCUCCUGAAAUUGUUUUUUGUUCAUGGUCACAAGGUACUCCUUUUGUGCUAUUGUUCGGUUUGGUCACGUUACAUACUAAUGAAAUUAGUGCCACCUGGUAACGAUAGAACUACUAAUAAUAUAAUGUGAUUUGGUCAUGUCAAUACUACAGCCAAUUCAUCUUUAAAGGUACUUUGUAGAAUUAUAUGCCAGUAGGAAUAUAAUUUUAUCAACAUAAUUGCGACUGUCACAGGAAUUUGUUAAUUUUUUACCGUCGAAGGACAUGAAGAGGCCUGUGGAGUAGCAGGGAAGAUGUGAGCUGGUGUGUCAUAGUAGUGAUGAUGCGGUGCAGCAAGCUGUACGGGGAGGCUAGCUGUUGGAAGGAUUGGAAUUUCUUAUGAUCUUAGGAUCUUGAUAGCUUCCAAUAUUUUAGAUGAAAAAUAAGAGCUUCUUUACUGUUCCUGUGUUUUUUGGUUGUGUUAGUUUCUUAACACAAGAGACAAGACAUUGUUAUUAUAUUACUUUCCCCCCUUGAACAUGCAGGAGAGGUGCGAAUCUUUAUAUAAAGAGAGAAAUUAUUAUUAUAUUA